rnacentral:rRNA from 1 species
AACGAACGCUGGCGGCAGGCUUAACACAUGCAAGUCGAGCGCCCCGCAAGGGGAGCGACAGACGGGUGAGUAACGCGUGGGAACGUACCCUUUGCUACGGAAUAGCUCCGGGAAACUGGAAUUAAUACCGUAUGUGCCCUACGGGGGAAAGAUUUAUCGGCAAAGGAUCGGCCCGCGUUGGAUUAGCUAGUUGGUGGGGUAAUGGCCUACCAAGGCGACGAUCCAUAGCUGGUCUGAGAGGAUGAUCAGCCACAUUGGGACUGAGACACGGCCCAAACUCCUACGGGAGGCAGCAGUGGGGAAUAUUGGACAAUGGGCGCAAGCCUGAUCCAGCCAUGCCGCGUGAGUGAUGAAGGCCUUAGGGUUGUAAAGCUCUUUCACCGGAGAAGAUAAUGACGGUAUCCGGAGGAGAAGCCCCGGCUAACUUCGUGCCAGCCGCCGCUGUAACAC